rnacentral:rRNA from 1 species
CCUGCCGGCGACCGGCGCACGGGUGAGUAACACGUAUGCGACCUGCCCCCCGCAGGGGGAUAACCGGGAGAAAUCCGACUAAUACCGCGUAACGCCGCGGACCUGCAUGGGUCUGCGGCCAAAGGAAGCGAUUCCGGCGGGGGAUGGGCAUGCGGCGCAUUAGCUAGUCGGCGGGGUAACGGCCCACCGAGGCGACGAUGCGUAGGGGUUCUGAGAGGAAGGUCCCCCACACUGGUACUGAGACACGGACCAGACUCCUACGGGAGGCAGCAG